rnacentral:rRNA from 1 species
UUGGGCGUAAAGCGCUCGUAGGCGGUCUGUUAGGUCGGGAGUUAAAUCCGGGGGCUCAACCCCCGUUCGCUCCCGAUACCGGCAGACUUGAGUUUGGUAGGGGAAGGUAGAAUUCCUAGUGUAGCGGUGGAAUGCGCAGAUAUUAGGAAGAACACCAGUGGCGAAGGCGGCCUUCUGGGCCAUAACUGACGCUGAGGAGCGAAAGCUAGGGGAGCAAACAGGAUUAGAUACCCUGGUAGUCCUAGCCGUAAACGAUGGACACUAGGUGUGGGGGAAUAUUUCUUCCGUGCCGCAGCUAACGCAUUAAGUGUCCCGCCUGGGGAGUACGGCCGCAAGGCUAAAACUCAAAGGAAUUGACGGGGGCCCGCACAAGCAGCGGAGCAUGUGGUUUAAUUCGAAGCAACGCGAAGAACCUUACCAGGGCUUGACAUUUAGGUGAAGCGGCGGAAACGUCGUGGCCGAAAGGAGCCUAAACAGGUGGUGCAUGGCUGUCGUCAGCUCGUGUCGUGAG